CUUGUGUAGGACGACCCUCUAGCAGUACCUCUUGCCGGUGGUGUUGUCUAUUGUCACUGGCGGCAUACACAGGAUUAGCUUCAUGUAGGGGUCCCAGGUAUUCUUCUAAAGGACUGUCUUGUUCCAGGCAAAACGCUCGAGCUGGACGGUUGUUUCCCGUUGGAGCGGAAUUAUAGUUCCGUGUGGGGUAAUUGUUGUUGAGGGGGCAACUCGCUAUCAGGUGCCCCGGUUGCUUGCACUUAUAACAUGUGGGUCGGGAGCGUUCCUGAGGGUAGUGGCUGGGUGGUCCCGGG
rnacentral:lncRNA from 1 species